rnacentral:lncRNA from 1 species
UUGUUAUGGAAGAACACUCUUUAAUCGCUUUUAAUUUAGGUUAGUUACAAAUGACUAAGACCAUCGUUAUUUAUACUUGUGUAAAGAUGGUUCUAAAUACCUAUUCUAGAUACAUCUACAAGAACAAUCUAGAUAACCUUAUCUUCUAACUAUCUAACAAGAAUCUAGACUAUUCUAUGAUUUACCACAAAUAUCUAAUCUAGAACAUCUAUACAAUUGUGAGAUACAUCAAGUACUUAAGGUAUAACUUUACAUAACUCUAGAAAGUUCUACUAAAUGUCCAUGAUUAUUUG